rnacentral:rRNA from 1 species
UACGGGGGGGGCAAGCGUUGUUCGGAAUUACUGGGCGUAAAGGGCUCGUAGGCGGCCAACUAAGUCCGACGUGAAAUCCCAAGGCUUAACCUUGGAACUGCGUCGGAUACUGGAUGGCUUGAAUUCGGGAGAGGAUGCAGAAUUCCAGGUGUAGCGGUGAAAUGCGUAGAUAUCUGGAGGAAUACCGGUGGCGAAGGCGGCAUCCUGGACCGACAUUGACGCUGAGGAGCGAAAGCUAGGGGAGCAAACGGGG